rnacentral:snRNA from 1 species
AUACCUUUCUCGGCCUUUUGGCUAAGAUCAAGUGUAGUAUCUGUUCUUAUCAGUUUAAUAUCUGAUAUGUGAGCCAUCGGCUCACACGAUAUUAAAUUCAUUUUUUUAGGGGGAAGGUCCAUCAAGGCAGCUUGCUGUCUGGGACGCACUACUGCACGGGCCUGGCGCACCCCAU